rnacentral:rRNA from 1 species
AAGGUGGGGAUGACGUCAAAGUCCUCAUGGCCCUUAUGGGUAGGGCUUCACACGUCAUACAAUGGUCGGUACAGAGGGUUGCCAAGCCGCGAGGCGGAGCCAAUCCCACAAAGCCGAUCGUAGUCCGGAUUGUUCUCUGCAACUCGAGAGCAUGAAGUCGGAAUCGCUAGUAAUCGCAGGUCAGCAUACUGCGGUGAAUACGUUCCCGGGUCUU